rnacentral:rRNA from 1 species
GAUGAACGCUGGCGGCGUGCCUAAUACAUGCAAGUCGAGCGAACGGACGAGAAGCUUGCUUCUCUGAUGUUAGCGGCGGACGGGUGAGUAACACGUGGAUAACCUACCUAUAAGACUGGGAUAACUUCGGGAAACCGGAGCUAAUACCGGAUAAUAUUUUGAACCGCAUGGUUCAAAAGUGAAAGACGGUCUUGCUGUCACUUCUAGAUGGAUCCGCGCUGCGUUAGCUAGUUGGUAAGGUAACGGCUUACCAAGGCAACGAUGCAUAGCCGACCUGAGAGGGUGAUCGGCCACACUGGAACUGAGAGACGGUACAGACUCCUACGGAGGCAGCAGUAGGGAAUCGUCCGCAAUGGGCGAAAGCCUGACGGAGCAACGCCGCGUGAGUGAUGAAGGUCUUCGGAUCGUAAAACUCUGUUAUUAGGGAAGAACAGAUGUGUAAGUAACUGUGCACAUCUUGACGGUACCUAAUCAGAAAGCCACGGCUAACUACGUG